UAUUGCCCAAUGGACGCAAGUCUGAGGCAGCAACGCCGCGUGCGCGAUGAAGGCCUUCGGGUCGUAAAGCGCUUUUCGGUGGGAUGAGGAAGGACAGUACCACCGGAAUAAGGUACGGCUAACUACGUGCCAGCAGCCGCGGUAAAACGUAGGUACCGAGCGUUAUCCGGAUUUACUGGGCGUAAAGCGCGUUCAGGCGGUUCUGCAAGUCGGGCAUGAAAUCUCUCGGCUCAACCGGGAGGGGUUGUCCGAUACUGCGGGGCUUGAGGGCAGUAGAGGGUGGUGGAAUUCCGGGUGUAGUGGUGAAAUGCGUAGAGAUCCGGAGGAACACCAGUGGCGAAGGCGGCCACCUGGACUGUACCUGACGCUCAAACGCGAAAGCUCGGGGAGCGAACGGG
rnacentral:rRNA from 1 species